rnacentral:rRNA from 1 species
CCUACGGGAGGCAGCAGUAGGGAAUCUUCCGCAAUGGACGAAAGUCUGACGGAGCACGCCGCGUGAGUGAUGAAGGCUUUCGGGUCGUAAAACUCUGUUGUUAGGGAAGAACAAGUGCUAGUUGAAUAAGCUGGCACCUUGACGGUACCUAACCAGAAAGCCACGGCUAACUACGUGCCAGCAGCCGCGGUAAUA